UGGACCCGCGGCGCAUUAGCUAGUUGGUGAGGUAACGGCUCACCAAGGCGACGAUGCGUAGCCGACCUGAGAGGGUGAUCGGCCACACUGGGACUGAGACACGGCCCAGACUCCUACGGGAGGCAGCGAGUAGGGAAUCUUCCGCAAUGGACGAAAGUCUGACGGAGCAACGCCGCGUGAGUGAUGAAGGUUUCGGAUCGUAAACUCUGUUGUUAGGGAAGAACAAGUACCGUUCGAAUAGGGCGGUACCUUGACGGUACCUAACCAGAAAGCCACGGCUAACUACGUGCCAGCAGCCGCGGUAAUACGUAGGUGGCAAGCGUUGUCCGGAAUUAUUGGGCGUAAAGCGCGCGCAGGCGGUUUCUUAAGUCUGA
rnacentral:rRNA from 1 species